CUCCCAGGCUUUCAUGUGGAAUGUCUGAUGCAUUAAUUACUGGACAUUGUUUAUGGGCUGUGACAGGGUCAGUUUUCUAUACAUACAUAUACAUGCACUAACAUUUGUAUAGCAUUUAUGUACAAAUAAAAUAGUUCCUGUGCAAAACUAAACUUGUAGUUAGGCACUGGUUUGGUGUAACAAAGUAAUUUUCAUUCUGUGCAGGGCCACACCACCCCUCUCGAAUCAAUGUAAAUGGUACGACCCGCAGUUCAGGUGCUUCAGCUGCGGACCAGCUGUGAAUCAGUUAAUGAGACAGGAGCAUAGACAGUAAAAUAAGACAGGAGCUGUAGUUAGCCGUGAUAUGAACUAAGAAGACAGGGGAAGAGUCAUGUCUUUCCUUAAGAAAGGAAAAUCAGAGGCUCAAAAACGAAAAGAAACGAAGAUUAAAGAGAGAAAGGAAAAUGAGGGCAAGCAGUUUCUCACUCAGUUUUUUUAAAAGAAAGGUGAGCUCAAAAUGCAUAAUCGAGCAUUGACAUUGUUUUAACAUAAAUAUCUACUAUUGGAGGAGUUCUCCCCAGAGUCACAAGUUUACAUGAAAACACUAUAUUUCCCUCCAUUGUCAAAAUCUAACACCCGCGAAAACACAGAUCGUUAGCGCCUAUCUUACAGCAUUGUUAUGCAACUUAGCUCGUGCACGCUCAGGAUUGUUAUCAGUUUAAUGCACAUCUUAAUGAUUGAAAAUUACUUAUUUUAAAACGUAAAGACUGAAUGUCUAGUCUGGUGGUUAGUGUACCCUGUGAUUCUAUAGUCUGCAUUCAUUUUAAACAGACAAAUAAUCAGCAAUUAACUUGUACUUCGCCUACACUUUUAAAAAGGUAUUAUGACAAUAAAGGAUAUUUUAGCAAUCAUUUGAAGCCAUAUAUUUCAGUUUCAGACCCUGCAGCAGCAGGCCCCUCAUCAUGGCCAGGUGAAAGCAGUGACAGUGAGGUGGAUGUGACAGUGAGACAAGGAUUGCGCGCGCAUCAUUCAAAUUCAGAAACCCAGCCGACUGGAGCAGCCCGAG
rnacentral:lncRNA from 1 species